rnacentral:rRNA from 1 species
CCUACGGGCGGCUGCAGUGGGGAAUAUUGGACAAUGGGCGCAAGCCUGAUCCAGCAAUGCCGCGUGUGUGAAGAAGGCCUGCGGGUUGUAAAGCACUUUUGUUCGGGAAGAAAACGGAUCGGUUAAUACCCGGUUCGGAUGACGGUACCGAAAGAAUAAGCACCGGCUAACUUCGUGCCAGCAGCCGCGGUAAUACGAAGGGUGCAAGCGUUAAUCGGAAUUACUGGGCGUAAAGCGUGCGUAGGCGGCUUUUUAAGUCGGAUGUGAAAUCCCCGGGCUCAACCUGGGAAUGGCAUCCGAUACUGGGGAGCUAGAGUUUGGGAGAGGGUGGUGGAAUUCCCGGUGUAGCGGUGAAAUGCGUAGAGAUCGGGAGGAACAUCAGUGGCGAAGGCGGCCACCUGGCCUAAAACUGACGCUGAGGCACGAAAGCGUGGGGAGCAAACAGGCUUAGAUACCCCGGUAGUC